GACGAACGCUGGCGGCGUGCUUAACACAUGCAAGUCGAACGGAAAGGCCCUGCUUUUGUGGGGUGCUCGAGUGGCGAACGGGUGAGUAACACGUGAGUAACCUGCCCUUGACUUUGGGAUAACUUCAGGAAACUGGGGCUAAUACCGGAUAGGAGCUCCUGCUGCUUGGUGGGGGUUGGAAAGUUUCGGCGGUUGGGGAUGGACUCGCGGCUUAUCAGCUUGUUGGUGUGGUAGUGGCUUACCAAGGCUUUGACGGGUAGCCGGCCUGAGAGGGUGACCGGCCACAUUGGGACUGAGGUGCGGCCCAGACUCCUACGGGAGGCAGCGGUGGGGAAUAUUGCACAAUGGGCUGAAGCCUGGUGCAGCAACGCCGCGUGGGGGAUGACGGCCUUCGGGUUGUAAACCGCUUUCGCCUGUGACGAAGCGUGAGUGACGGUAAUGGGUAAAGAAGCACCGGCUAACUACGUG
rnacentral:rRNA from 1 species